rnacentral:lncRNA from 1 species
AUAAACUAGGUUGUCUAAGUACAAUAGUAGAAGAAGGUGCAUCAAAAUGCACUGAUCACACACCUCAAGCCAAUUCCAUAUCCUCAUCCCCUUUUGGCUAACUUCUCAUGCUUACAAUGAUCAUGGUAAGAACCCUAAUCUAUGGAUAUUUGAUACUGGUGCAACAGAUCAUAUUUCAUAUGACUUAGCCUCUUUUGAAUCAUAUAAAGACAUAAUCCCUGUCCAUGUUAGUUUACCAGAUGGUUCUUAAAUAAUUGCUUCUAUGUCUGGUAGCAUAGUUUUAUC